ACAAGAUGCUCUGUUUUCUCUGUUUAUCUUAAUUCUAUUUAUUUUGUUGAUUUUGGUCUUCGUUAAGUUUUCCUUAACAAUCUAAUCUGAAUUCCUGGAACCUGUUUUUGUAAGUCAUAAGCUUCUCCAUGUAAUUACUGGUUUGUGAGAACUACAAAUUUUUUAAUCUGUAUUUCUUUAGUCAAUAUGUCGCAAGAUAGCUCUAAUAAAUAAGUAAUAUAUAUAUAAAUGUUGAAUAUUUGAAAGACUUGUAUUUUCAUAAGUUACUCUUCAAGUUAGAGAAGGACUUACACCAUCCAGGACCGGCUUUGCAAGACCAUUUCGGUCCACACUAGAGAACUCGAUGUCUCGGGCUAGGCUCUAUUGGGUGGAGGAUCACCUUUCUUUACUAGAAGAGCAGGAAACAAGACACUUACAUAAUUAGAGAGGUGAACCAGGAAAUAAGCUAUAUGUAUGUGUAGAGAAGCCCAAAAGAAGGGAAGAGAGAUUAUGUGACAUGGCCCCUACAACUCAGAAACUUUUUAAAAAAGGAAGAGUAUAACCCCUACCGAAGCUCCUCAAGAGGAAGUUUCCCUGUGACUAACUUAGUUCACUUCUGGUGGUAGCCAUUGGCUAAGUUGAGAGCAAGGACAGCGCUUUGACAACUUAGCCUCUUUUAUUGGUUGCACUGGGCACUUGCAGCCCAAGGAUGAAAGAUUCUUUUGUGAAAUGCUCCAAGCUAAUCUAUUAGGUUGUAUUAGGAUUAUGGAUUUGAAAUGAAAGGAUUUGGUAGUUUUGAUAUGAAUUUCAAGAUUGAAUUUGAGAGCUUUGUCAUGAACUCAUGAUGGAUUUAUAGUUUUUCGAAGUCAUUCAUGCUAUGGGUUCUAAUUCUACAAGAAUAUUAAAAAUACUUAUUUUCUAUCACUAAUUUAUCUUCCCCUUCAGUUUCUCCAUCCACUUAUAAUAGCUUAAUCUCCUAUCGUUUAUGAAUUUCAACCUCAAAUUCCUUAUUUUGAAAUCCAUCAAUCCAAAUGAAGCCUUAGUUCAUACAUAAUUUCUAUUUCUAGGUGAAUAUUGCCCUUAUCUCCUGCUCUAUCUAGUUUCUAUUCCCAUAAAAGUUCACUCACUGGCAAAUGGAAAAUGAGAGGGUACCUUAAUUUGUUUGUUUUUCAAUGAUUAUUGUGAUAAUAGUGUGAUUUCGGAGAGAAAAAUAGAAUAUUAUUGCAUUAACCAUUCAAAUCCUACAUCGUACAAUGUUGGUGUUACACUAAAUAAAAGAGAACAGAAUCAUAGAUAACUCUAUUGACUAAAAUUGCCCUAAACUAAAAGUAAUAAAAAAUACAAUUCUUUUCAAAGUCAGGACAAAUAUGACUAUGUUGUUAAACCAUUUCUUCAUUCACUUAAAUAACAACCUUUGGGCCAAGAAUUCUGUACUAUCUCUCCUUGUUUCUUUGAUCACUUUCCUUUUGUUGGUAUUCACCCUUCUUUGGCUUCUGCUUAAUUAUUGUGGAGGAUUUAAUAGCUAUUGUCAAAAGAAGCAGCAUCUGUGUUGAGACCCUAGAAACAAUUUUUAUUUAAAAUUGUGUACACAAUUCUAUUGAUUCACACAUUGUUAAUCUGCAUUCACAAUUUAUACUAAAAAUCUAAGGUCUUCUUUUAUAGAUCAAUUCCAGUAGAAAGAGAACAAAAGGUGGGCCUAUUAGACAAAUUAAAGUGGAGAGAUCAAAACAACCCCAAAUUGCCAAGUUGGUAAUAGUAGACUUCUAAAAGCACCAAUGUCAAAUGUUAGUAAAUUAUAAAAUCUAGGGCCUUAUGAAAUCACAAAGGAUUUUCAUGGUUGCCAAUAUUUUUUGAUUGUUAAUAAAAGAAGUGCAAGAGAGAAGGAGAACAAGCAGUCCUCCAAGAAACAAAAGUUGAGAAAAAAAACUCACAACAAAUCACACAUUGUCCCCAUAUCUCUAGAAAAUAAAAAAAGUGGGUCCCUUGAGGGGAAACUGAAAUCCAAUAAGAUGACAAGUAACAAACUUUAAAGACUCAACAUCUUCAAAAAAUCCUAGUAUUACACUCCAACCAAAAAACCCAAAAAAUUGUGAAACAUAUACAGUUCCACAAGGCUUUUGCUUUUGCAUUGAACCCAAAACCCCAAAAAUCAAUCAAAAGCAACUGGGAAUGAGAAGUCGGGGUUUCCCAACAAGUCUCUAGCAUUCGAAAAAGUCAGGACCAUAAAAGAUGAAUCAAAUGGACAAUGUAAAAAUAAAUGAUCUAGAGAUUCCUUGUCUCCCUUACGCUGGCCUCCAAUAUCAAUAUGAGGAAUGAAUCGCUUCUAAGAAUCAGAAAGAGAGAAGAUGAUGUGGAAUGUAGAGGUCCAAUAUUUAGCAUAAUUUUUGACAUUUAGCCCAAUUUUCGAGCAAGCUAAGCUGCCCGACCCAAAAUUAAGCCACAACACAACCAUUUCCACAAGAAAAAAAGGCCUACUAAAAUCAGCCUGCGUACAUACCCUGUUCUGAAUGGGACACAACUCAAUCCAAAAGAUUUGAAACCCACAAACAAAGUUCAAAGAAACCAAAAAAAAAAAAGAAAAAA